rnacentral:rRNA from 1 species
GGAUUAGCGGCGGACGGGUGAGUAACACGUGAGUAACCUGCCUUAGACAUUGGGAUAGCCUCGGGAAACCGGGAUUAAUACCGAAUAACAUCACAUAGACACAUGUCCUUGUGAUCAAAACUCCGGUGGUCUAAGAUGGACUCGCGUCCCAUUAGCUAGUUGGUGAGGUAACGGCCCACCAAGGCGACGAUGGGUAGCCGGCCUGAGAGGGUGAACGGCCACAUUGGAACUGAGAAACGGUCCAAACUCC